AUUACACCGCAGCUCCCAGAGUGUCUCUGUGAACUGAAGAGAGACCAGCAUAGCCACAUAGACCCCUCUUCAGGGGGAGCAGAGUCUACAGUCUUCUGUCCUGAGCCUGUUCCUCCCAGGAGGUUUCAUUUGGAUUUGCAUUCCAGCCCAAGGGAAGGGGCCGUAAGGGCCUUGGGAGCAGUGAAGUGUAUGGGCGGCUCCUUCCUGUUUCCAUUACGCCAGGCUCUUGAGCUGGGCUACCUGUUCAGCCUGCUCUACACAGGUCCCCUGCAUGUCCCUCUUCCCCUUUUCCUUCCAUGGAGAUAUUUCUGUCCCAUCCUCUUUUGACCCAGCCCCAGCCUGAUCAACACCAAUAAUAAGCAUUUCCUAGAUGAGCAUUUCCUAGGCUGGGCUUUUGAUGAGGAACCUUACUUCUGCCAGUGGUUCCAAGUUCUGGGUUUUUUGGGACUUGAAGCAUUUCUCCUUGAAGAGGGGACCAGAGAGGCUUAGAAUGUCACACGAGAGGAAUCACCCGAGGAAGCCUUCCUCCUCAUGAGUUUGGAUUUUCAAAGCCACGAUUUAACUUUUCCAUCUGGGAUAAGGAUCUCAGGACAUGGGCACGGGGCAGGGGAUGCUUGUGGAGUUCAGUGCAAUUGUCCAUUCACUGGGAUGCUGAACAGUUUCUGUCUGGACACAGCCUGUCUUGGUCCUGGGGGCUGGGGGUGGGGAAGAUGCUGUAAGAAAACCGGUUAGUCAAUGUUGUCUUAAUAUUGUUGACAAUUCUGUAAAGUUCCUUUUUAUGACUAUUUCUGUUUAAGCUAUUUCACCUUUCAUUUUGAAACCCUUUCCUUUUAUGGAGAAAAUGUGACACUGUGGAAAUGCUUGUAAGAAAGCCCCUACUCCCGCUUUUCCUUGAAAUGACAGAUCUAGGUGAUUACGGUUGUGAAUUUUUAUUUUCACUUUGUUUUUAAUGAACAUUUGUCUUUCAGAAUAGGAUUGUGUGAUAAUGUUUAAAUGGCAAAAAAACAAAACAUGAUUUUGUGCAAUUAACAAAGCUACUGCAAGAAAAAAAAAUAAAACAUUUCUUGGUACCAU
rnacentral:lncRNA from 1 species